GGAUGGGGACAGCCGAGAUGGCGGCGGCGGCAAGGACGCCACCGGGUCGGAGGACUACGAGAACCUGCCGACUAGCGCCUCCGUGUCCACCCACAUGACAGCAGGAGCGAUGGCCGGGAUCCUGGAGCACUCGGUCAUGUACCCGGUGGACUCGGUGAAGAGACAGGGUCUUGCCUUGUCGCCUAGGCUGGAGUGCAGUGUUGAGAUCAUAGUUUA
rnacentral:lncRNA from 10 species